GACGAACGCUGGCGGCGUGCUUAACACAUGCAAGUCGAACGGAAAGGCCCUGCUUUUGUGGGGUGCUCGAGUGGCGAAAGGGUGAGUAACAAGUGAGUAACCUGCCCUUGACUUUGGGAUAACUUCAGGAAACUGGGGCUAAUAACGGAUAGGAGCUCCUGCUGCAUGGUGGGGGUUGGAAAGUUUCGGCGGUUGGGGAUGGACUCGCGGCUUAUCAGCUUGUUGGUGGGGUAGUGGCUUACCAAGGCUUUGACGGGUAGCCGGCCUGCGAGGGUGACCGGCCACAUUGGGACUGAGAUACGGCCCAGACUCCUACGGGAGGCAGCAGUGGGGAAUAUUGCACAAUGGGCGGAAGCCUGAUGCAGCAACGCCGCGUGCGGGAUGACGGCCUUCGGGUUGUAAACCGCUUUCGCCUGUGACGAAGCGUGAGUGACGGUAAUGGGUAAAGAAGCACCGGCUAACUACGUG
rnacentral:rRNA from 1 species